rnacentral:sRNA from 1 species
GGGGGGCUUAUUGUUGGACAUGAGCUUCACCCUCAACAUAUCAUUUGGCCCAAACAGAGACUUAAGUGUUUAAUGGGCUUGUUGUCUCCAACAAUUUAGCCUAUUAAACGCAAGGGGCAAAACGGUAAUUUACAGGAGGAGCAGAAGAAUCUUUAGGUUAAGAGGCUUGUCCUAUAAAUAAUGCACUAUUGGCGAAAUAGUGACACAGAAGAUAAUACCCAGAGAAUCAGAGCAAUAUUCGGACUAAAACUCUUUGUCUUUCGGUUCGUUUUUGUUCUCGGUUCGUUUUGUCUUCGGUUCGUUUUGUUCUCAGUUCGUUUUGUUCUCGGUUCGUUUUAGUUCACGGUUCGUUUUUUUCUCAAUUCAAGUCGUGUUACGUUGCCGAUCGAUAGAAAUCACUUGUAACUAUUCAACCGGCCUGUUGUUUACCCUUCUCGUUCGUCAGCUAAUAAAAGAUACUUCGUCUUCCCGAAAAUCCCUUACUUAUUCAUUGUUACAACCUCGGUACAAACAGCGUGCCACUAGUUAUUCAAAGUGCUACUGUAAAUGUGAUAUACCAAAAAUACUCUUAAUGAAAUUACUUACGAUUGGUACAACUAAGAGAUGAUAGUACAACUGGUUCAAACGAUAGAUUAUGGGACAAGUGGAACAAAUGGUAUUACAGUAUUACUAAACGAUAAUAGUACAACUGAU